GGGUCUCUAGCUCAGUGGCAGAGCAGCUGACUGCAGAUCAGCAGAUCUCCGGUUCAGUCCCGGAGGGACCAU
rnacentral:tRNA from 1 species